GUUAGCCUAUCAGGGCCCACCAUUCCGGCCUCCAGGAUCCCUUCCCAGCCUGCCGUGCUGCAGCCGUCAACAGAGCCCGUGCUUCUACACCUGCAUUGCUUGCUGUUUGGUGUUUUAGGCUGGGUUUCUGUACAGCACUUUGAGAUAUCAGCUGAUGUACGAAGGGCUAUAUAAAUACAUUUGAUUUGAUUUGAGUCCGGCCCACAGGUCAGUGAUGACGCUGGAUGAUGCUGGUCACUAGUUUACAACGGAACCAUAAGCCAUCAAUGUCUUCACAUAAGAAUGAAAAUAUGGACUUUUUCCUUUUCCAUAUUUGACUGUCUACUUGUCCAAUACUGAUUUUAAGGAAGAUAUAUGGAAGAUUUUGCUUCUGGGGGUUAGGGUUCGCCAAAACGAGCUCCCUUUUAAAUGGACCAAUAUAUGGUCCAUAAACGAGCUGAUUGGCCAGAAAGGGACACACCUCUCCACACCCAUGAGCAAAUUGUAAUCUAUUGUUUACCUCAAACUAUUUAUGUGGUUACAUGUGAUGAGAAAUGGAAUGGCCUAAUGUUAUAUCACGUAUGUAUGUGAACAAUACAGCCAACAUUCAAGCCAAAAUGACACCUGUCCUCUCUCCUCCUGUCCCUCCAGGUCACGGAGGCUGCGGGCCAGGCUAGCCUGCUGAGGCAGCAGGAGGAGCUGGAGUGGAAGGCUGCAGACCUGGAGCACAGAGAGAAGGAGUUGCAGAACAGGGGAACCUCAACAGGUCGGACAGCUCCUUCAGUUACUUCUUCUUUGUGUUCUUCUGCCAAGUGGUGGUGUUCAUUAUCCAGUCUGUGGGCAUCACCAACUUGGGAAACAGUGGUUGGAUCACCUCGUUGUCUGCCAUCACCUCCAACAAGGCGGUGGGAGCCAUCAUGAUGUUGGUGGCCUACUUCUUCACUGCCUGUGCUGUGCUGUCAGUCAUCCUGCUGAGGAUGGUACGUGGCGUUACCGUAACUCCCUGGAAGAAUCUCUAUUGCAUUUCCUUGAUUCCUCACAUCCUCACCACCUCAUCAAAACCCAUCGGAUGAGAAGGUCAGAGGGGAGGAACCUCUGACCUCAUCCAGUUGAUUUUAG
rnacentral:lncRNA from 1 species